rnacentral:rRNA from 1 species
UGGGGAAUAUUGCACAAUGGGCGCAAGCCUGAUGCAGCAACGCCGCGUGAACGAUGAAGGUCUUCGGAUCGUAAAGUUCUGUUGCAGGGGAAGAUAAUGACGGUACCCUGUGAGGAAGCCCCGGCUAACUACGUGCCAGCAGCCGCGGUAAUACGUAGGGGGCUAGCGUUAUCCGGAUUUACUGGGCGUAAAGGGUGCGUAGGUGGUCUUUCAAGUCGGUGGUUAAAGGCUACGGCUCAACCGUAGUUAGCCACCGAAACUGGAAGACUUGAGUGCAGGAGAGGAAAGUGGAAUUCCAAGUGUAGCGGUGAAAUGCGUAGAUAUUGGGAGGAACACCAGUAGCGAAGGCGGCUUUCUGGACUGCAACUGACACUGAGGCACGAAAGCGUGGGGAGCAAACAGG